rnacentral:rRNA from 1 species
GUGAGGAAUAUUGGUCAAUGGGCGCAAGCCUGAACCAGCCAUCCCGCGUGAAGGAAGAAGGCCCUAUGGGUUGUAAACUUCUUUUCCAGGGGGUGAAUAAUUCCGAUGUAUCGGGAGAUGACGGUACCCUGGGAAUAAGCAUCGGCUAACUCCGUGCCAGCAGCCGCGGUAAUACGGAGGAUGCGAGCGUUAUCCGGAUUUAUUGGGUUUAAAGGGUGCGUAGGCGGAACAAUAAGUCAGUGGUGAAAGACUGCAGCUUAACUGUAGACUUGCCGUUGAUACUGUUGAUCUUGAGUAUGGUCAAGGCAGGCGGAAUGUGUAAUGUAGCGGUGAAAUGCUUAGAUAUUACACAGAACACCGAUUGCGAAGGCAGCUUGCUGGGCCAUUACUGACGCUGAUGCACGAAAGCGUGGGGAUCGAACAGGAUUAGAAACCCUAGUAGUCC